CUUGGUCAUUUAGAGGAAGUAAAAGUCGUAACAAGGUUUCCGUAGGUGAACCUGCGGAAGGAUCAUUAGCGAAUUACGGGGCCUUCGGGUCCCUAAUCCCUCACACACACUUGUUGAGCCUUUAUUCGGCGUCCUAGGGGGGCGAACGCUGGCUCUACUAACCCCUCUGGAUAGCCUCGCACAAACUCGUUUUGAAAGUCUUGUAGUAGAAACAUAAUCCAGCAUAACUUAUAGCAACGGAUCUCUUGGCUCUCGUAUCGAUGAAGAACGCAGCGAAAUGCGAAAAGUAAUGUGAAUUGCAGAAUCCAGUGAAUCAUCGAAUCUUUGAACGCACCUUGCGCCCUCUGGCAUUCCGGAGGGCAUGUCUGUCUGAGUGUCAUGUAACUCUCAACCUCUCUUCCCUUGUGGUCGAGCCGGUUGGAUCGUGGGGGUUUUGCGGUCCUGGUAUCGCUCCCCUGAAAUCCAUCUGCGAAGUCGCCCCUUGUGAGUUGGCCUGACCGGGUGUGAUGGUGACGUUUUCGCCCGGGAUCCCGCCUCGUGCGAGGAGCCGCUCCUGUUGCGGGUAAUUUGGUUCGCAUACGAACGCAUAUCUUUGGUUUAGACCUCAGAUCAGGCAGGACUACCCGCUGAACUUAAGCAUAUCAAUAAGCGGAGGA
rnacentral:rRNA from 1 species